UAUAAGUGAUGGCGACCGGCGCACGGUGAGUAACACGUAUCCAACCUGCCGAUAACUCGGGGAUAGCCUUUCGAAAGAAAGAUUAAUACCCGAUGGUAUAAUAAAACCGCAUGGUUUAAUUAUUAAAGAAUUUCGGUUAUCGAUGGGGAUGCGUUCCAUUAGGCAGUUGGUGAGGUAACGGCUCACCAAACCUUCGAUGGAUAGGGGUUCUGAGAGGAAGGUCCCCCACAUUGGAACUGAGACGCGGUCCAA
rnacentral:rRNA from 1 species